UACAGAGGGGGCAAGCGUUGUUCGGAAUUACUGGGCGUAAAGGGCGCGUAGGCGGCCCGCUAAGUCGAACGUGAAAUCCCUGGGCUCAACCCAGGAACUGCGUCCGAUACUGGCGGGCUUGAAUCCGGGAGAGGGAUGCGGAAUUCCAGGUGUAGCGGUGAAAUGCGUAGAUAUCUGGAGGAACACCGGUGGCGAAGGCGGCAUCCUGGACCAACACUGACGCUGAGGAGCGAAAGCCAGGGGAGCAAACGGG
rnacentral:rRNA from 1 species